ACGUGGCUGUCUUCAUUUUCCUUUUGUCUAUUCACACACCAACACAACUCCUUCCUCUUGCUGUUUCUUUUUUUUUUGGGUGCUGUAACAAGCCUUUUUCCAAAACAAAACACAAAGCCUCUCGUCCAAGCCUUUUUGUUUGCUGUCUUCCCCAUUUCCCAAAUGGGUCAGUAGCUGAUGGAUCUGUUUAGCUCGGGAUUCCAUGGCUACGCUCCUUCCUUUGUUUUGACAGAGGGAGAGAGUUGAUCAGAUUCUCCAAAGGGAGAGGGUUAAAACUCAAUGAUGAAUUGAACAUCCAAGAAAUUUGAUUCAAGGAAUGUCAUCCCACAUGGAUUGCCAUCCAUUUGAUUGAUUAAAGGGUUGCCACCCAACAUGGAGGAUCUCAAGAGUGGAGCUUUGUUGCAGAUGCAUUGCUUAUGUUCUUUUUUUAUUUAUUAUUUUUCUCCAGCCUUUCGGCU